GUAAAACAUGAAGUACAUAUUAUUCCUCGCUGUAUCGGCAGUUGCUGUCGCCUUGGUGUGGAGCGAAUCAUGACACUUACACAACUCUGCGCUGCACCAACGAAGAGUGCACCAACACGCAUGCAUCAUGUAUCCAGGUUUCGCCAAGGGUGGGACAUUGCUCAAAAUACGACAGGCUUCUCUGCAGGCCGCCGUCAUAUACAUUGAGGAUGGAAUAUUGCUGAGGUCGUGAAACAACAAAAUACUGUUCCUUGACAGAGUUGCUGAUGCAGAUGACUGUCAUACUCACCGACAGCAACUGCCGAUACAGCGAGGAAUAAUAUGUACUUCAUGUUUUACGGAAACGAUUUAAUCUGAACAUUGUGACCAGGGACACGCCUUUUAUACUGCACAAUGCCUGCACCCAUAAAUUAUCUUAAGCGCGUUGUCUAAAACAGGUGACACUUUCCCAAUUCCACAAAGUAUUUGAUUUACACUUUAGGGGAUAGUCCGAGUUUGUUUCUGUUUCUGUUGCUAACCUCAUCGUAACCCUUACGACAGUAUAUGCAUUUGUUCAUUUUGGGAUGCAUGACGUAUUAUAUAUUAUAUAACCGAGCUGCACUGUCGGCUCGACUCGCAAUGCAGAGUUGCAUCCUUUUAGUGUGCCAGGCACCGAUACUCGUAAGUUCGAAUAUCAAAUUCCACCUGAUCAAAAUUCUUGGUUUGCCAGAACUAUACCUGUGCUCGUGGGUUUCACAUGUUCAAAUCCUAGGACUUUGGGCAUUCCUCAUACAUUAAGCUGACACGCCGCGAUAUAGGGCUUAAAUGACAUAAUGUUUAAUUUCUGAGCAUCCUUGUAUAUUAAGAGUGUAAUGUGUGAGUGAGUGAGUUAAAAUUUAACGUCAAAUCGGCAAUAUCGUGACGGUAACUUGUACAUUUAUAAUGAAUACAUUCAGAUUGAAUAAAAACUUCUCAGCGAUGGACAGUAUAAUAAUUAAAAACAUUUAAAAAAGAAAUUUAAAUUCAACAACACAAUACAAAUAUGGGCUAUAGAUCGCCAGUAACCAAAGUGAGGCAACCAUUUCAGGGACCUUGGGGACUUACAAUACUUCUGCUACCUGCACGAUUCCCCAUGGCCAGCAGGAUUUACACCAUCAAUGUAAAAUGGCAAAUAUACUACUGUUAAAAUUUUGACAUGCAUAAAAAUACUUUGAAUAACGUGGAACUUCCACACCCUCAUUGGGGGACAAUAAUUUUAUGCUGCUUCAAUCCCCUUUGAGGGUACAACCACUAACAAUCUUAGUUACUAAU